UACGAGAUGUAGCUAUACUGCACGUAACAAAUGCGAUGCUUUGCACUGCAGCUAUAGGCAAAGCAUCUCGAUCGAAAUGAAUGUGCUUGCACCGAGCAGGUAGUAACGAGUUGAAGUGAAUUUUAUCGCAGAAACACACACAAUCAACUCAUCGUUUUGCACGUUGGCUCACAACCACACCCGAUGAAUAUGUCUACUUUUUGAGAGAGAACAUGAACAUAUACUUUUGCAAUCAUAUAUACCGGCCUAUGUAAAGCAGCCUGGGAAUAUUAAAGCAUGAGUUAGGAAACCUGCUGCACGAAUUCCUAUUCGUUAUAUCAGCUACUGCACAAGCACAAACAAAAAGUUUGCUACAUCAGUCAAUCUAGAUACUUUAUUCAAGCCCCAUUAAAUGAAAUACUGCCAAAAAUUACCACCAAGCUAAAGUUUUGACACAUUCAGUGAAAUCCAAACCGAAACCAAACGUGGAAUGGCCAAUGCAAUGUAUCGCUUGGCAACACUGGUAAGCUUGCUGCGCCGGCAGCACAUGGACGGCAGCUGUCAGAUACCGAGGCCUGUUUUCGUGUGUAAUUUUCGUUCGUGCAUCCGUGUUAACGCAAUGUUCUCCGCGGUUUGUGUGUUAUUCGUGAACGCAAUCGGAACGAGUCCUCAUCAACGCAGUUUAACGCGACUGUAAGUAAAGGGAAGCAGCGGGCGCCUUCACCGGCGCGGCCCUCGGCGAUCGCUUUGUUUGUAUGUGUCGCGCGCACGGUUCAACUUUUGAAUACCGUGGCUGCGCGUUGUCGCAGUGCAGUGAUGAUUAUAUGCCAGUGCUCAUCGUGAAACUGCACAAACCGCGUCACUGCUGAUGGAGCUGCCACGUACGUAGACGGCGGCGCCCGAGAAGACCUUUUCUGAAGAGAAUGCGUGCCUGGCGAUUGUCACUUGCAGUCGCAACUUUUACAAAGUGGCAGCUGGCCUCCAUGGGGCGGUGCAGACAGGGGACUGUCAUUGCUGGAGCACCUCCUGGCUAUCCACAGGAAAUGGAAAAAACAUGGUAAAUUCAAACCCCCUCUGGUUCUCAUUUUCAUGUUUCCAUAAGUGUGUGUGUGUUCAUCACCCUGAAGUUACUUAAAUUUGAAAACGAAGCCAUAUAAAGUAUACUCAUGGUCUCACGUAGUGCAUUAUUAAACAUAAAAGUACAAAAUCACGCAGCUUAAGAACCUCAAAGAUAAUUUGUAGCGGAUCAGUCACUGCAGAGGUCAGGAUAUGUAUUGUCGAUGCUCGCAGACAAUAGAAUUGCAGACUUGUUCAUCAUUAAAAGCAAUUAUACAUUUAGGGUGUGAACAUUUGGUAAUGGUUUGAGUGAAUGCUAGAGACGACUGCAUGAAUAUGCCACCCCUAACGUAAUGCCCUGACAGAGGCCCUUAAAGAUGAAAUAAAUGACGAUAAGAAGCUUGGUAACAGAUUUGUGCAACGAGCGAAUUGUAGCACGCACAGGGAAAAAUACACGAGAAGGCACAAAGAAUACACACACGUAGCACUUCAUUGUGCCUUCUCAUAUCUUUGUUCCCUGUUCGCGCUACAGCUCGCUCAUUUCAACAUGAACAACCAACAAGCCCACAUCGCCACUCAGAUUUGUGCAGUUUCCUUCGAGUCAUAUUUGGGUAAAGUACCACAGACUAUAUUUUAAGUGAAAUAAGUUAUAUUUCCUCGUUUAAUUGGCCAACACUGUAGUUAGGCUCUGGGUAUAUUUUGGCCAGGUAUGUAUAUAUGUCAGUGCUACGUUUAUUAGAUUAUGUUUUAGAGUGAGUUGAAGUCAUAAUUAUAGAAAUUAAUACUUGUGAUCAUGAUAUUCUUGCCAUAAGUUUAUGCAAGGGACAUGUAAAUUUGGUCUUCAUAUAAGCAACAACAAAUGGAAAGUUGCUGACGAUUUUAUAGGCAUUGAAGAUGUCAACAUGUUAGCUUAUUUGGAUGCUUUUGUGUUGUCAUGUGGCCUAUAUCAUACGGGAUGGAAUUGAUGGCCAAAAUUGUGGACAUUUUAACCUCCCAAAGGCCAACAUCAUAUCUUUGAUAUGCUGAGCUUGAUGCCUGAAAAUGCUCAUUUACUGAUGAUAAACAUAAUGUGCAAUGCACUGUAGCAUUUCUGACAUGCUGCAACAGUUUCAGUUGUAGAUAGCUCAGCAAACUAAUGAGUAGUGAGUUACUCUUAGGUUAUAUAUAACUAAAAGAAAAUUUAGUUUUUCUUUUGUUUAUAUAUUCAUUGGGGGUGAUUGUAUGAGAAAGAAAGGUGAUCAGGUUCUAUUCUUCCUUCAUAUAGAAUUGUGUCUGCUUUCCGAACUUUAGGAAAGAUGUUCAAUUUGUCAGACACUGCCUGCAUAACACCACCUCCAUAAAUAGGAAGAACUGAUGUUCAUCCGUGAUACUCUAAGAACACUGCGAUGAAUCAUAGGUGCACAUAUAAAAGUAAUCACAAGAAGGGCAAUGCAUAGCAAGCAUCUGCAUCUAGAUCGAGAUAGUUAAAUUUUGGAUUAAGGUGAAACAUUGCAGAAGAGCUGCAUGCUGUACAUGAUAUGCAGGCUAAAUCAUUGAAGGUUGAUUCAUUGAAGGCAUUAUAAAAAUAAUGUUUUGCUAUUUUCUAAUAGCAGCCGGAGUAAUUGCUAUGAAAGAGAAAUAAAAUUUUUAAGGAAUAAAAUAAUUAGCUAGUGUCUAGUACAGAACUUACAGAAAUGAAAUUACUGAGUGCAAAUGUAUGGAAUAAGUUGUUUCACUUGGAGAGUGCUGCACAGGUCAUGGGGCCACUAGAAAAUUGUGAGGAUAUAAGGGAAGAGCGAAAGCAUGUGCAGUGAAAAUAUGGGCGAAAGUGUCUGUAAAGGAGCGAAAUCGAUUUUAAGACUCUUACUGUAAGCCGAUGAAUAGGGAUUUCAAGGUGGAGGAUUGCAAAGGUAUAGCUGAAUCUCUCUAUGAGCCAUUGUGACACACAUGAACAAUUUCCGUAGAAAAUGAGAAUCUAUUUAAGCACGUUACUGAGAGCAUAAUCACUGGAAAAUGGUAGAGCAGAGAUCGGUUUGCGUAAACACGGGUUUGGCGCUUACUUUCAACUGCAGUUUACUGAAGAAAUGUGAUAUUUAUAAGUACUGAACAAGACCAUCAUGGGGCAUCACAUUAAUGAUAAAGCAACCAAAUAUUGGAGUCACCAGGACCCCCUAAUACAACCACAUCAUAGCCAUGUGCCAUGACAGAUUGGUACGGCCUAGUAUACCAGAGGUGAUAAGAGACAAUCCAGAUUAUCGCACAGCAUGACGCUUGCCUCUAAAAAUAUGUGAAGGUAGGUUGAAGCAUGUGCGCUGGCCCAGCAAAUAA